CAUCAAAUCAUGUAAUUUCCUCAUGUGUUUUUGUGCACCCUCUAUGCUUGGCCUUUAUCCUAAUGCUUUUCUGGGCACCCUCUUUCCCCAUUCAUCCUCUAUGUCAGUGGUCAUUUUAUGCUUGGUGCAAUGAAAAACCUGCUGAUUGUGUGACUGGUGCAUCACAUUUGAUAGGACGGAAGCAUACCAGUUUCAUUCAUUCAAAAGUACCUCAAGAGGAAGUUAGAUCUUACAAAUGAUGUUGAGGUUGACAUCAAGUGCAUGGGGCAGACCAUCAUCCCCACGCUAACGCUGAACAAUCUGGUUGAUCUGUGGCUUAAAACAGCUAGUAUAGACAGAGUGAAAGCCACAAUCGGCUCAUCAGCUAGGGAUUUUGUGAUGGUGUUGGGCUAUGCUCGCAGGGCUCCUGAUUCUUAGACGCUCGUGCCUCAGUUUUCCCCACAAGAGAUGCCUUUCACGAGCACGGCACUUUGGAAUUUAGGAGCAAGGUCACUAUGAGAAUGUCAUUUGUAAGAUGAGGAGCGAGGAGUAAAUUUGGCAUGUUUUAGGGAUUUGAAUUACCUGUGUUUUAUAUUAUUAUUACAAGAUUGCACUCAUGUAGGUUGCGAAACUUGCAUUUUUUGUUCCUCUUUGUGUUUUUUAUUACAGUACAUUACACUGGACUUUGACAUAAUUAUGGUCAUUUCAUAUUUGCGACUGCUGAAAAAGCAAUUUUUUCUUCUUUCAUUUGA